UCGUUUUACUUUGGUUUAUUUACUUUUAUUUGUCGGCGAUGCGGUUUAUUUCUUGACGAGCGAAUCCGUUAACCAGUUGUGAUAAAAUGCAGUAACGUUGCUAACGUUGCUGUUUUUGGAGCAAUUGAAUGCCUUCAAACAAAAGCUAGCAGAGGAAUCGUCAAGAAAAGUAAAGGCCGUCAAGACUUGCUUGAUGUAAAAGGCAUGAAGAUACAACGUGAAGAUAUUGUGUGUGAAGAUGCAGUAAGAGUUGGAUCAAGGAAAACACCACCACCUUUUCUGCCAGAUGAGGAAUUUGCUGCUGUAGUUUGUAUCCCAAGCACCACCUGCAUGCUGCCUAGGGAUCGGGUGGUGGACAUUCAGGAUUGCUGUCAUUCAAGAAGUUAUUACUUACCACAUCUCUACCCCAUUAAGGCAGUGAGCUACAAAAUACCUGAAGAAAAAGGCACUUAUCCUGGAGUUCAUAUAAAGAAAUCCUGAACGAAGAUCGAAGUGGCUGAGAUGAAGGAAACCAAACGUAUUACAUUCCUUCAAGACUGCUGAAGUCCCUGUGAUAGACGGGGAUCGGCACUUCCUCAUCAAACAGAUCCUGGAUAAUCUACCCGAUGAAUAUCUACAUCCAGCCCUGAAUCAUCUACCUGUGUCGGCACGGAGAGAACAACGGCAACCUGGUGGGACAGCUGGGCCGUUAUACAGGCCUCUCGCCGCGAGACAGACAGUUUUUGGUGGCUAAACCCAAGUCUGCAGUCCUUGAAGAAUUUACUACACAUUUCUUGCCUUCAUCUUACCUGAAGACAAGAAGAGUCCCACCCCCCCCCCACCCCGCCUCAAUCCAUGUUCCUCUGAAAAACUUUUUCCCUUCACACAUUUUAAAAUAUUUUUU